rnacentral:rRNA from 1 species
UACGUAGGGGGCUAGCGUUGUCCGGAAUCAUUGGGCGUAAAGCGCGCGUAGGCGGCCCGGUCAGUCCGCUCUGAAAGUCCAGGGCUCAACCCUGGAAAGCGGGUGGAUACUGCCGGGCUGGAAUCCGGAAGAGGCGAGUGGAAUUCCUGGUGUAGCGGUGGAAUGCGCAGAUAUCAGGAGGAACACCAAUAGCGAAGGCAGCUCGCUGGGACGGUAUUGACGCUGAGGCGCGAAAGCGUGGGGAGCGAACAGG